CGGCUGCGCGAGCUCGUGGCCAGCGGAAGGGCCCCACCUCCCGCGGGCUACUACUGCGGCUGCGCAAGGCGGCCGGUCGCAGGGCCCCUCCAGGGCCUGCAGGGAGGUCCUAGCCGCGUCCACCCCGACUGGGGUGGGAAGAGGGCUCCUCUAGCAAAUGAAUUCUGAAGAUGCCAAGUAAAAAUAAUCCCAACAAAUACACAUAAAAAUAGAGUUAAAUUUUCUGAACUGUUUCCCUGCCGGGGAAAAUAAGGUUCCGCGGCGUGUACACCAGUCACCACCAUGAGCCACAACUGGGGAAGUCCAGGCUGCCGGCGCCGGGGAAGAGGCCGACCGCGAGCUCACCCUACUGAACGCUCAUCACGACACUCCCUCACUGCUCUCUCAGGCCAAAGAAAGCCUGUGAUCCAUAGUCCGGAUUAAAAAGGACUUCUUGAGUAGAGGUCAUAACUGAAAUGUUUUAACCUGAUGCCUGUUCCCACCUUCUUCCUAUGAUGAUUCCUUUGACCAGUCAAGUCAUUUUCCAAGAUAAGUGUUCUUGAGGAUGAAAUUCAAGCACAUAAAGACUCUUAGCUAGAUGACUUCUUUCUAAAGUAAUUUUCUUUCUAGAGUUUGAACCUCUUCAGAAAUAAAAUCUCUGACAGCUGCCUCUUCAGUUUUUCCCCUUAGCCACAACUAAAUCAAUUUUGAGAAAAUAACACUCUCCAAAAUAAAAAUACCUCAAACAAAGCAGCUUUUUAUUUACAGUAAGUCUUGAGAUAAGAAGGGAAGAACUAAGAAAGGCAGAGACACCCAUGACCUCCAGAGUAGAUUUAGGUCUAGUCAAAGACUUGGAAAGCCAAAUAGAGUCAGACAGCUCCCUAAUGACUUGCCCUAGGUGGCUCUUUAUUCCUUUUGAAUGGAAAACCUAACCUAACUCAAAUUUUCUAUUCAAAAUACAGCAUACUAAGAUAACUGAUGGCAGAAUUAUGCUUGAUUACGUCCCUUAGCAGAGAGGAAGCAGGAAAUGAAGAUGACCAGUAAGUCUCUGGACCAGGAAUGGUUGCAACAGAGUCGUUCUAUUCCUUCUGCCUAGACUCUCACUCCCAGCUCCCUUGCCCGUUUUUCCAUCUAGAAGUCAAACAUUCCAUCCUCUCAGUCUUCUACAAUCCCCCAAGCAGAAGUGACUUUUAAAAAUCUUAUGCCACCAGUGUCUUUGUACCUCUCCAUUGUAGGAUUUAUCACAAUUAAAUGUAAUUACUUAUGAAUUUGUCACUCCAGAGAUAAUCUUUUAUUGACAGCAUAUCACUACCCUCUAGAACAGAGCUUGGUAAGUGAAUUCAGUAAAUAUUCAUGGUAGAAAAGAGUGAAUAUAGAACCCAGUGAAGUAAGGCUAGCUGAAAGGUGAGAGAAACAGGAAAGCACAACUAGAGAAUCCACCUGGUGCCAGAGUUCUAAAUUAAGGGGCAGGUAAAAUGUGUAGGUGUCUUUUUAGGGUUUCUUAGCAAGGCUGAUAUACAAGUUUCAGAUAAAGCUAUGGAUAAGUUAAAAGAUUGCUUAACUGUUUUCAAAGCCAGAGUCAAUACGUACCAAAUCAGAACAUACAAAAAGAAAGAAAUUCUACAGUGCUAGAAAUGCAGUAAAACAAAUAUGUACUGGUAGAAUAUUUUCAUCCUUUAAAAAAAGUUUUGUUCUUUGGAGAGAUUUUAAAAAAUAAAAGGGCACAAAACCCUUGAUAGGAAAAGAAAAAAAAAAAAAAAGAGAAGCUGCAAUGAAAGCAGUAUUAAUAUUAUAAGCUAUAAACU